AAAAAACUAAACAAGGCUGUUAAAGAAAUAUUGCUAAUACAAGACUUCUACCGUUAUGGGAAGCAACAACAUGGACGAGAACUUUUUUCUUGACAUUCCAGAUGCCGCGCUAGAAGCUUUAAAUUUUGGAUUGGUUGGUUCAGGAAAAUGAAUUCUAUGACGCUGUUGUAAAACCACCUCUGAUUGGGCCGAUCCAAAAGCGGUGAUAACAAGCUGGAGAGUGUCAGAAGCAGGAAAUCUCCCUCAUUCUACAGAAAGACGGGCAAAGGGUUAAACCAGAAAAGCUGCCUCGUUUUACAAAAAGACUGCAAAGGUAAACAUUUUUUAAUUUUACCCUGAGCUUUAUUGUAUUUUUCUUAGCCACUUUUUUAUAGAGUUUUUACCCUGUGCUUACAGAACAGGCUUUCUCUUUGUCAAUUUUCCUUUUAAACCUCGUUUUUUCUUAACCUACAUUGGUAUUGACUAGUUUUAAUACGUUUUAUUCACUUUUAUUACACUGCCUUAGUACAUUUUCUUUUAAACCUAGUUUUUAAUGUUUUUAAAAGCCUUUUUCUUAGGACCCCUUUACAGUUUUUGGCCAUGUGCUUACUUAACAGGUUUUGCUUCAGUCAAUUCCCCUUUUAAACCUAGCUGUAUUGUUUUUAAUAUUACUUAAUAAUAUUAAAAAGCUUUUUUAUAACCUAUGUUGGCAGUCAAAAGUUUCAAUCC